rnacentral:tRNA from 1 species
UUACUGAUAGGUUAUUUAAACUGACAAGUUGUGGUUUUGUUGAUUACGUGUGCCUUGCUGUUGUAU